AUUGAACGCUGGCGGCAGGCCUAACACAUGCAAGUCGAGCGGAGCUUCGGACGGGUGAGUAAUGCCUAGGAAUCUGCCUGGUAGUGGGGGAUAACGACCGGAAACGGGUGCUAAUACCGCAUACUAUCAGAUUAGCCUCGGUCGGAUUAGCUAGUUGGAGGGCGAAAGGCCUACCAAGGAGACGAUCCGUAACUGGUCAGAGAGGAUGAUCAGUCACACUGAGACUGAGACACAGGCCAGACACCUGCGGGAGGGAGCAGGGGGGAAUAUUAGCCAAUGGGCGAAAGACUGAUCCAGCCAUGCAGCGUGUGUGAAGAAGGUCGUCGGAUUGUAAAGCACUUUAAGUUAAGAAGCAUUACCAACAGAAUAAGCACCGGCUAACUUCGUGCCAGCAGCCGCGAUAGUUC
rnacentral:rRNA from 1 species